rnacentral:rRNA from 1 species
UCCUGGCUCAGGAUGAACGCUAGCUACAGGCUUAACACAUGCAAGUCGAGGGGAAACGACAUCGAAAGCUUGCUUUUGAUGGGCGUCGACCGGCGCACGGGUGAGUAACGCGUAUCCAACCUGCCCACCACUUGGGGAUAACCUUGCGAAAGUAAGACUAAUACCCAAUGAUAUCUCUAGAAGACAUCUGAAAGAGAUUAAAGAUUUAUCGGUGAUGGAUGGGGAUGCGUCUGAUUAGCUUGUUGGCGGGGUAACGGCCCACCAAGGCAACGAUCAGUAGGGGUUCUGAGAGGAAGGUCCCCCACAUUGGAACUGAGACACGGUCCAAACUCCUACGGGAGGCAGCAGUGAGGAAUAUUGGUCAAUGGACGAGAGUCUGAACCAGCCAAGUAGCGUGCAGGAUGACGGCCCUAUGGGUUGUAAACUGCUUUUAUAAGGGAAUAAAGUGAGUCUCGUGAGACUUUUUGCAUGUACCUUAUGAAUAAGGACCGGCUAAUUCCGUGCCAGCAGCCGCGGUAAUACGGAAGGUCCGGGCGUUAUCCGGAUUUAUUGGGUUUAAAGGGAGCGUAGGCCGGAGAUUAAGCGUGUUGUGAAAUGUAGACGCUCAACGUCUGCACUGCAGCGCGAACUGGUUUCCUUGAGUACGCACAAAGUGGGCGGAAUUCGUGGUGUAGCGGUGAAAUGCUUAGAUAUCACGAAGAACUCCGAUUGCGAAGGCAGCUCACUGGAGCGCAACUGACGCUGAAGCUCGAAAGUGCGGGUAUCGAACAGGAUUAGAUACCCUGGUAGUCCGCACGGUAAACGAUGGAUGCCCGCUGUUGGUCUGAAUAGGUCAGCGGCCAAGCGAAAGCAUUAAGCAUCCCACCUGGGGAGUACGCCGGCAA